rnacentral:rRNA from 3 species
UUAAGUUAUUAAGGGCGCACGGUGGAUGCCUUGGCACUAGAAGCCGAUGAAGGACGUUACUAACGACGAUAUGCUUUGGGGAGCUGUAAGUAAGCUUUGAUCCAGAGAUUUCCGAAUGGGGAAACCCAGCAUGAGUUAUGUCAUGUUAUCGAUAUGUGAAUACAUAGCAUAUCAGAAGGCACACCCGGAGAACUGAAACAUCUUAGUACCCGGAGGAAGAGAAAGAAAAUUCGAUUCCCUUAGUAGCGGCGAGCGAAACGGGAAGAGCCCAAACCAACAAGCUUGCUUGUUGGGGUUGUAGGACACUCUAUACGGAGUUACAAAGGACGACAUUAGACGAAUCAUCUGGAAAGAUGAAUCAAAGAAGGUAAUAAUCCUGUAGUCGAAAAUGUUGUCUCUCUUGAGUGGAUCCUGAGUACGACGGAGCACGUGAAAUUCCGUCGGAAUCUGGGAGGACCAUCUCCUAAGGCUAAAUACUCUCUAGUGACCGAUAGUGAACCAGUACCGUGAGGGAAAGGUGAAAAGCACCCCGGAAGGGGAGUGAAAUAGAACCUGAAACCGUGUGCUUACAAGUAGUCAGAGCCCGUUAAUGGGUGAUGGCGUGCCUUUUGUAGAAUGAACCGGCGAGUUACGAUUUGAUGCAAGGUUAAGCAGUAAAUGUGGAGCCGUAGCGAAAGCGAGUCUGAAUAGGGCGUUUAGUAUUUGGUCGUAGACCCGAAACCAGGUGAUCUACCCUUGGUCAGGUUGAAGUUCAGGUAACACUGAAUGGAGGACCGAACCGACUUACGUUGAAAAGUGAGCGGAUGAACUGAGGGUAGCGGAGAAAUUCCAAUCGAACCUGGAGAUAGCUGGUUCUCUCCGAAAUAGCUUUAGGGCUAGCCUCAAGUGAUGAUUAUUGGAGGUAGAGCACUGUUUGGACGAGGGGCCCCUCUCGGGUUACCGAAUUCAGACAAACUCCGAAUGCCAAUUAAUUUAACUUGGGAGUCAGAACAUGGGUGAUAAGGUCCGUGUUCGAAAGGGAAACAGCCCAGACCACCAGCUAAGGUCCCAAAAUAUAUGUUAAGUGGAAAAGGAUGUGGCGUUGCCCAGACAACUAGGAUGUUGGCUUAGAAGCAGCCAUCAUUUAAAGAGUGCGUAAUAGCUCACUAGUCGAGUGACACUGCGCCGAAAAUGUACCGGGGCUAAACAUAUUACCGAAGCUGUGGAUUGUCCUUUGGACAAUGGUAGGAGAGCGUUCUAAGGGCGUUGAAGCAUGAUCGUAAGGACAUGUGGAGCGCUUAGAAGUGAGAAUGCCGGUGUGAGUAGCGAAAGACGGGUGAGAAUCCCGUCCACCGAUUGACUAAGGUUUCCAGAGGAAGGCUCGUCCGCUCUGGGUUAGUCGGGUCCUAAGCUGAGGCCGACAGGCGUAGGCGAUGGAUAACAGGUUGAUAUUCCUGUACCACCUAUAAUCGUUUUAAUCGAUGGGGGGGACGCAGUAGGAUAGGCGAAGCGUGCGAUUGGAUUGCACGUCUAAGCAGUAAGGCUGAGUAUUAGGCAAAUCCGGUACUCAUUAAGGCUGAGCUGUGAUGGGGAGAAGACAUUGUGUCUUCGAGUCGUUGAUUUCACACUGCCGAGAAAAGCCUCUAGAUAGAAAAUAGGUGCCCGUACCGCAAACCGACACAGGUAGUCAAGAUGAGAAUUCUAAGGUGAGCGAGCGAACUCUCGUUAAGGAACUCGGCAAAAUGACCCCGUAACUUCGGGAGAAGGGGUGCUCUUUAGGGUUAACGCCCAGAAGAGCCGCAGUGAAUAGGCCCAAGCGACUGUUUAUCAAAAACACAGGUCUCUGCUAAACCGUAAGGUGAUGUAUAGGGGCUGACGCCUGCCCGGUGCUGGAAGGUUAAGAGGAGUGGUUAGCUUCUGCGAAGCUACGAAUCGAAGCCCCAGUAAACGGCGGCCGUAACUAUAACGGUCCUAAGGUAGCGAAAUUCCUUGUCGGGUAAGUUCCGACCCGCACGAAAGGCGUAACGAUUUGGGCACUGUCUCAACGAGAGACUCGGUGAAAUCAUAGUACCUGUGAAGAUGCAGGUUACCCGCGACAGGACGGAAAGACCCCGUGGAGCUUUACUGUAGCCUGAUAUUGAAAUUCGGCACAGCUUGUACAGGAUAGGUAGGAGCCUUUGAAACGUGAGCGCUAGCUUACGUGGAGGCGCUGGUGGGAUACUACCCUAGCUGUGUUGGCUUUCUAACCCGCACCACUUAUCGUGGUGGGAGACAGUGUCAGGCGGGCAGUUUGACUGGGGCGGUCGCCUCCUAAAAGGUAACGGAGGCGCUCAAAGGUUCCCUCAGAAUGGUUGGAAAUCAUUCAUAGAGUGUAAAGGCAUAAGGGAGCUUGACUGCGAGACCUACAAGUCGAG